GACGAACGCUGGCGGCGUGCUUAACACAUGCAAGUCGAACGGAAAGGCCCUGCUUUUGUGGGGUGCUCGAGUGACGAACGGGUGAGUAACACGUGAGUAACCUGCCCUUGACUUUGGGAUAACUUCAGGAAACUGGGGCUAAUACCGGAUAGGAGCUCCUGCUGCAUGGUGGGGGUUGGAAAGUUUCGGCGGUUGGGGAUGGACUCGCGGCUUAUCAGCUUGUUGGUGGGGUAGUGGCUUACCAAGGCUUUGACGGGUAGCCGGCCUGAGAGGGUGACCGGCCACAUUGGGACUGAGAUACGGCCCAGACUCCUACGGGAGGCAGCAGUGGGGAAUAUUGCACAAUGGGCGAAAGCCUGAUGCAGCAACGCCGCGUGCGGGAUGACGGCCUUCGGGUUGUAAACCGCUUUCGCCUGUGACGAAGCGUGAGUGACGGUAAUGGGUAAAGAAGCACCGGCUAACUACGUG
rnacentral:rRNA from 1 species